rnacentral:lncRNA from 1 species
GAAUGUGAUUUUCUUUAUAAUCAGGGAGAAGUAUUACUUUCAUUUAUUUCUAUUUAAAUUUCUUUUCUUUUCCUUAUUUUUUUCUCAUGGAUGUAUCACAUGUAGUCUAGAGAGCUUGAAUCCCUGCCUCUUGAGGUAAAUCAGCCCAUUUCUGUCUCUAUCAGUUUGCCUUUUUUGGACAUUUCAAAUCAGUGGAAUUAUACAAUAUGUGGUCUUGUGUCUGGCUUUUUUACUUAGCUAAUGUUUUUGAGGUUGGUCCAUGACAUAUAACAGGUACCGCAGCACCUUCUGGGCCCAGAUUGUGCCUUCUCAGAAGUCUGGGAGGCAGGGCCCCGCCUGGCCAUAGCCUUCUUGCUCUGCUCCAGGCACUCCUAGCCCCAAAGCCUCCAGCCCCCUGGACGCCUCCAUCCCCGGCUAUGCCAUGGCUCUCCUCAUUCUAGGCCUCCUGCACGUCACAUUCGCCCUUGUCCUGGUAAGUGUCUGGCUGGGCCUGGGCUCCUUCCUGAGGGGCAGGUUGAGCCUUUGACGCCUUGAGCCUUUGAGCCAAGCUGAGGAGUGAGCAGGCCCCUUUACACCCCUGAUUCCCCGACCCAAGCCCAGCAUCUCCUCAUCCUCCAGCUGGGGCUGCAGGGUUUGGGGCCAGGGGGCUGGGCCUGAUCCCAGUGUCCCCGCCCUUCUUGUCAAGGUGCUAAAGUGGAGGGUCUCCCUCGGGGUGUUCAGCCUGGGAGCUUAGAUGCGCACAGUGCGGUACAGAGGACUCUCUCCAGACAGGUGACCCCUCACGCUGCUGUUCCCUCUGCUGAAACCCGAACUCCAAACCUCUCCUCUCCCCGCCUUCACCUUGCCCCACGGCUUCCACAGACAGUGCCUCAACCCUGAGGAAUGAAUCCGGAGUUCCAACACCACUGACUUUCCCCGGAGCUCAGAGCCAGAGAGGGCCAGGGUCCAGCCGGAGGUCACACAGCCAGGGCUUCUUCCCUCCGAAACCCCCAAGGACUGGACUUGCAGGGCUGGGACAG